CCCCCCCCCCCCCCUUCUGCUGCUGCUGCUGCUGCUGCUGCCAGCAUCAAUGCCCAGUGACCACUGACAGGAUGCAUUCAUCUCAUGGGAAAGUCAGAGGAUGGAAAAACGGCUGAAUUAUAAAAGGAAGAUUUUCAUGACCCAGUUUUAGUUGAUGAGAAAACACUGGGUUUUAUACAUGAUUUAUGACUAUUUAAAUGUGAUACAAAAACUGCUAUGAAAAAACAACGUUUGCUGUUAAACUGAUUCAUAUUUAACCUAAAGGUUUAUGUGAAAAUGUUUGAUUUUUCAGACCAGGUUAGAAGAAGCUCCAGGUGAAACUUGUUGAAGCCUCUUUGGAGAAACCAGGCAGAUGAAGAAACAUCAUGGAGCUUCAGAGAUGUUUCUACUGGUUUGACGACCCAGACGCCUAGAGAAGUGAAAAGUUGUCACCUUCGAGGGUCGCCAUCUGCAUCCGUCUCACCGUGUCCACUGUCUCCUCUACUUUUUAACCGGGCUGUAACUGAUCUGGUCUGAAGGUGAAUGAAGGUCAUUAACUCAUUUUUAUUCUUCUUGCUACCAUUUUCUUUUUUGUAUUCUUUAUGGAACGCUUUACGGCUCUAAUUUAGAUGUGGGGGCAAUUAAGUUGUCACUGCCCUCUUGUGGCCAUAAAUGUGGAGAUCACUCGUAUCUCGAUUGCAUUUUUCCAUUAAAAAUAACUAAAAACUAAUCAAUUCAUUCAAGUCCCCAAGAAAUAUACAAUUAAGUUAAAGCCCCCAUUUAAACAUCAAAAACAUAGAUAUAAACAAAUAAUAAUAUAAAAUCAUUUUUAUAUUAUUGUUAUAAAAAUGGGUAAAAUAACCCAGAGAGGGACAGUGAGCGAGACAACGCCACACUCAAUGUUUUCUCGUAUCUCAAGAAAAAUCGUACAAUAGUUGCUGACUAGUAAAACUCGUAUUUUGGGGAGGUCGUAUCUUGAAGCCCCACUCUAUGUAUUUUAAUAUACAUGUUUAUCUGGAACAUAAGUCACAUGACUGCGGUGUAUAUUGAACUACUGGAAAAAGGGUUAGUUAUGUUCUGGAAUAUACUGAAAAAAAAUGUGUACUUAACUUUUGAACUUUUUAUCCUCAACUUUUCUUUAAAAAGUAACAUGUUUUUAAAUGUUUUUUUUCUCUUGUGCUCGCUCUUGUUGUUGGCUGAAGGGCCUCGGCGUCAAGUGCUGCAUCUCUGCCCUCCACUAAACCAUGAUGUGGUCGUGUCACUCUUCGGCCGUGUGAACAAAGCCUCCUUUCUUCCUCGACCACGUCCGUCCAGCAGGGUAUCACUGUCUGCUGCCUCACCGUGGCCUGCGAGGUGCGCUAUAUCCACUUUCUUUAAAUGAUUCUUUUGAUUGCCGUGGAUUGGAUUUAUCGCAGCCUUCGUCUCACCGUGUGGGGAUUUUCCCCCGCAUCCCAAUUUAAUCCUCUUUUUUGACAUUUGGCCGCCACGUUUCUUGAGUGAGUCAAAGAAGUCACAGAGAAGCUGAAUGUCAAGAUCGACGAGGUGCAACAUCAAGCGUGGGUGUGUGUGUGUGUGUGUGUGUCGCCGGACGCUGACGCACGACUCGUCCUUCACGGUACGUUGGUUUUUGGCGUUUCGUUUGACGCGAGUCUACCCUGGGAAAUCACAGGCCCCGCCCCCUUCUGUUGAGUGAAGUGUGACGUUUGACUUCAAGAAACAAACUGAAUGUCAUCAUUUCUGUAUUAUACACAAAACAAGUCAAAGCCAACAAAACUGGUUCUCACGCCACCAUAAUCUGCCACAGGAACUACAGUGAAGAUGAAGCUUGAAUCUAGAUGCAGCGAGUCGUCUGUACAGUGGAUGCGGUUGAGCUGAAGAAUAUUUGCAUCAAAGAAAUAAAUUACAAAAAAAAAUUACCCCCCCCAAAAAAAGAAAACAACUCUCAGCAUGCCGCAGGAUCAAAAACAUGCAUCGUAGGUCAAGAAACAUUUUUCGACAUGGAACUAAAACCAAAACUGACAAGAAAAAAAAAAGAAAAAAAAA